CCCAAAUCCACGGUUUUGCACUUUUUAUAUUCAAUGUUUGACCAUCCGUUUUAUUUUUUAAAAAUAUGAAUGGUAUUUUUAUUAUUAUUAGAUGAUAAAAUAUGAAUAGUAUGUUAUGGGUGACUGUUUUUUAAAAUUCGUUAUCAUAUUUUUUUAAAAUAAGAUGGACGAUUGAACUUUGGACACGGGAACCCACAACUGCUCUUAGG
rfam:Oryza barthii chromosome 7, whole genome shotgun sequence.